UGGCGUAAAAUCUUAAUCAAUGAUUUAAACGAUUAUGAAACAACAUAAAAAACAUAGUUAUUUUUUAAUAUAAAUACAACCUUUGUUACAUUGUUGAAUUGUGUUCUUCGACGACCGAAGAACUUCUCAAUUUCAUUAUGCACAUAGGUGCAAUAAAAAAUUUCCGGUGCACAUUUAUGCACCUGACACAUCAUGUAAGGCAGGUAUGCAUUCAGUUAUAGGAAAAAAAGAAAAAUAUACGGACUAACGUAUUUAAUGACAAAGUAAUAAAUAAUAAGUAAACGUGCAAUGUCCAUUUUAGUGUUCGCAGUUAAGACUAGAUAUGAACGCUUAUCUGAGGAAGUGACAUCUGAGCAAAUUCAACUAAAGAAAGGAGAAGAGAUACAUAUGAGAGAGAUACUGAUAUUUGACACGUGCAAACGUGAACUCGAGCGUCAAUCAAUAUUUGCACCAAAUAAUCGAUAAGGAUCGAUGUCAAGUUUCGUUUAACACUUAAUCUCGUUCUGCAUGCUCGAAGCUCGUGUCGAAGUCCCAUUUCCAAGAAAUAAUGGCGUUAGCGACUUAUGCUUAAAUGGGCAUUACAAUACAUCGUCGAAGGUUAACAUUUGUCUAGCGAAAACAGAGUAACAAUAAAAAAUAUUGCUUUGUAGCGUGCUAUAAUACAGUACUAUAGGUGCCAACAAUUAGUAAGUACAUCUAAGUGUAUCUCUGUAACGAUCGUAUAAAAAUGGUUCACGUAAAUCCCGCAAAUACAAUUCGUUUACUUAUGAUUACGUUCAAAAUUGUGGAUAAUAACAAUAUAAUAAGAUAUUAUAAUGAGAAGAGAAAUCGACUUACAAGAUAUGAUAAAAGAUACGCUUAUUGUAUUAAUUUGCUUAAACCACAUUCUGUAGAAUUUCUGGAUAAUAUAUAACGAGGUGCACGCGAAGAACUUUCAGAAGCGAUAGAGGUCUAAGAUGAGUGUGUACCAAAACGAGGAGAUAUUGUGUGACUUUAGAAUACAAAAUUAAUGUUGUUGCAUUUUGGAAAAGUGGAAAGAGGACGCGACUUUCCCUGGACACUGCCAGGCAUAAAUUUUGAAAAGUUUUAUCUCUUUAACAAUUGUAUAAGUAUAUAAUUGUAUAGUUAUCUAUCCAUUUUGUAUCUAUGCAUAAUUGCUUUAUUUAGAUUAUUAGAUGGAAAGAGACGGUAGACAGACGGAGAACAUGGCGGGAAAAAUUGUUACAAAUUUCAUAUUAUAAAUAUUCACAAUAUCGAAUAGAGGAAUAAUGUAACUGAUAUAUAUAUAAUUCCGCAUAACGAAGAACUUUAUAUGAAUAUUUUUCCAUCUUGUAGUAUUAUUUAAUUGCGAUGAUUGAUAUCAUUAAAUUACAGUUUCUUAUUUUAUCUCUAUUUUCGUCAUCAAAGUAUUACGGUGUAUGUACAUACUUGCUUAGUCGUAGUAUAAAAGCGAAUAUUAUAUCGAUAGAAAGGAAAUCAAAUAAUGCUGAAAAUCCAGUAGAUUUUGCUUUCUCACAACAAAAUUGUUCUUAAACAUUCUUUUGCAGAAUUUCAUUAUCAUGAAGAAUAAUUCAUAAUACAAUCCACAUGACAUUUGUACUUUCCAAAUUAUUUAUCUAUUCUUUAAGUGUCUAUUCAUACACAUAAAAGUGAAUGAGGAAUUGCUAGAGUAACUGGACGGGCGAGUGGAGAGGGAUCCAGAGGAGAUAGAAAAGAUGCUGAAGAUAAAACUAAAUGUCAAAGCAUGAGCAUACAAUAGAAUAUACAAAAGGAAAAUGUAUAAGAAGAGAGAGUGAGGAGACGGGAAAGGAGGAGGCAAGAGAAACUAAACAACGAGGACAGCUUGAUUAUGUGAAUAAUAUCAUGGUUUUCUUCCUACAUAUCUUGCAGACUAUUGGAGUAUUAUUAGUCGCUAUAUAUUACAUCCGAAAAUAUGAAAAUGUACAAAUAGUGCAAUAAAUGACUUACUUACUUAUAUACUUACUUCUUUAAUUGCUUAUUAAACAUCUAUAUUAUUUGCUACGAAAAAGAAUAAAAAAGAAGUUUGACAAUCAUGUUGAUAAUGACAAGUUCUUACGAAGAUAUGUUAUACCUACAGUUCUAUUCUUUUCUUUUAUUUCCAUCUGGUAUAUUUACUUAUUGUGUAAUAAGCGACAGAAGUAUACAAUAUAAAUUACCUUACUUUUGUAAUUGUGCAAUAGAACAAAGCUUGUAUUUGUAUUUAAAAAAAAAGUAUUUGUCUUU